GCGAAGCUGCAGCCCGACUUGAACGGAGCUCUUUUUCUUUUUUGACAAAAAAAGAAAAAAGCGGGAGUGGAAGGCGGAAAUAGCU
rnacentral:sRNA from 1 species